CCCAAGUUUAAUAAGUUUAACAUAUUUCAAAACUGGUGUAAAAGCAAUAAUAAUAGAGUUGUAAAAUCAAAAACCUCGCUAGCGGUUUGACGUUUGCCGUAAACGUCAAUCUUAAGGUGUCUAAUAGAUGAGGGUUCCCUACACUCUGGUUAAUAUUUUUCUGGUCAAUCUAGAAACAGCCCUAUUUGGGUUAACUUAGUAUUCCUGGUUAAAUUUCGUGAUUAACUUGACCAGGACUUCCUGAUUAACCAGACUACGUUGGUGGUCAAAUAGCCGGGGGCUCUUGUAGUACAUCCACCUAGCACAGUCUGGUUAUUUUAACAAGGACGACCUGGUCAAAUAUAACCAGUUUCUGGGUAUAAAAUAACCAGGAAAUUUAACCAGGAUUAUUGUUAUUUGUGUAGGUUUACCAAGAAUGUUUUUAGAAUGUACCAAUAAGGCAAUUGGGCAAAUCAAACUUGGGUUAUCAUAUCAUGUUUUAUUGUUUUACAGAAAAGAAACGCCGUGACAUGUUAACGCCCGAGAGUUCACCGAUUGCAAGGCCGUCGUUAUACGGAAGAUUACAAAAUUGGUUUUUUAACGAAGAUUAAUGGGAGUAACGAAAGAAUGCUCAGCUGGUGUGUAAUUUCCUGGUGUGUAAUUUCCUGGUGUGUAAUUUCCUGGCUUUAAAAGUAACUAUUAUUAAGUAUGUAUCGUAUACAGAGUACGCUUGUCAUCCGAAUGUAAUUAUAUGAUUAUAACAUUUAAAGAACCAAAUGCAUAACUUGCGUGAAUGUAAUAUAAACCCUUAUUAAUUAAAGAGUUAUUUGAAUGAAA